AGAGUUUGAUCAUGGCUCAGGAUGAACGCUAGCGGCAGGCCUAACACAUGCAAGUCGAGGGGUAACAUAGGAAAGCUUGCUUUUCUGAUGACGACCGGCGCACGGGUGCGUAACGCGUAUACAACCUGCCUUUUAGCGGGGAAUAGCCCAGGGAAACUUGGAUUAAUGCCCCAUAGUAUGGAGAUCUCUCCUGAGAUUUUCAUUAAACAUUUAUGGCUAUUAGAUGGGUAUGCGUCCUAUUAGUUAGUUGGUAAGGUAACGGCUUACCAAGGCAGCGAUAGGUAGGGGUCCUGAGAGGGAGAUCCCCCACACUGGUACUGAGACACGGACCAGACUCCUACGGGAGGCAGCAGUGAGGAAUAUUGGACAAUGGGCGAGAGCCUGAUCCAGCCAUGCCGCGUGCAGGAAGACUGCCCUAUGGGUUGUAAACUGCUUUUACAGAGGAAGAACCACUCCCACGUGUGGGAGUUUGACGGUACUCUGCGAAUAAGGAUCGGCUAACUCCGUGCCAGCAGCCGCGGUAAUACGGAGGAUCCAAGCGUUAUCCGGAAUCAUUGGGUUUAAAGGGUCCGUAGGCGGGCAGUUAAGUCAGUGGUGAAAGUCUUCCGCUCAACGGGAGAACUGCCAUUGAUACUGAUUGUCUUGAGUUAUUAUGAAGUGGUUAGAAUGAGUAGUGUAGCGGUGAAAUGCAUAGAUAUUACUCAGAAUACCGAUUGCGAAGGCAGAUCACUAAUAAUAUACUGACGCUGAUGGACGAAAGCGUAGGUAGCGAACAGGAUUAGAUACCCUGGUAGUCUACGCCGUAAACGAUGGUUACUAGCUGUUCGGCCCGAUUAAGGGCUGAGUGGUUAAGCGAAAGUGAUAAGUAACCCACCUGGGGAGUACGUUCGCAAGAAUGAAACUCAAAGGAAUUGACGGGGGCCCGCACAAGCGGUGGAGCAUGUGGUUUAAUUCGAUGAUACGCGAGGAACCUUACCAGGGCUUAAAUGUAGUCUGACAGGGCUGGAAACAGCUUUUUCUUCGGACAGAUUACAAGGUGCUGCAUGGGUGGC
rnacentral:rRNA from 1 species